AUGAAGACGGCGCCGGGUGUCGUGGGGCUGUGCGACGACGCCCUGGUGGAGAUCCUUGUCCGCCUCCCGUCCAAGUCGGUGCUCCGCUGCCGCGCCGUGUGCAAGAGAUGGCGCCGCAUCACCGCCGACGGCUCCUUCCUGGCCGCCCACGCUGCCCACGCGGCCAGCUGCACGCGUAUGACCCUAGCUCCUUGGCAGUGGAAACCAUCCGCCUAUCUCUUGAUCCCAGGCCUAGGCCGAUCCGCUUUCUUUGCAACCGAACCCAUCUAA
rnacentral:rRNA from 1 species